UACGAGGGGGGCGAGCGUUAUUCGGAAUCACUGGGCGUAAAGCGUGCGUAGGCUGUCUUGUAAGUUGGAAGUGAAAGCCCAGGGCUCAACCCUGGAAUUGCUUUCAAAACUACAAGACUUGAAUCUCGGAGAGGAUAGCGGAAUUGUCAGUGUAGCAGUGAAAUGCGUAGAUAUUGACAGGAACACCAGUGGCGUAAGCGGCUAUCUGGACGAGUAUUGACGCUGAGGCACGAAAGCGUGGGGAUCAAACAGG
rnacentral:rRNA from 1 species